rnacentral:rRNA from 1 species
GCCUACGGGGCGCAGCAGUAGGGAAUCUUCCACAAUGGGCGAAAGCCUGAUGGAGCAACGCCGCGUGGGUGAAGUAGGUCUUCGGAUCGUAAAACCCUGUUGUUAGAGAAGAAAGUGCGUGAGAGUAACUGUUCACGUUUCGACGGUGUCUAACCAGAAAGCCACGGCUAACUACGUGCCAACAGCCGCGGUGAUACGUAGGUGGCAAGCGUUAUCCGGAUUUAUUGGGCGUAAAGGGAACGCAGGCGGUCUUUUAAGUCUGAUGUGAAAGCCUUCGGCUUAACCGGAGUAGUGCAUUGGAAACU